rnacentral:tRNA from 3 species
CCGGGAUUAGCGCAGUUGGUAGCGCGCUUGCUUUGGGAGCAAGAUGUCGGGAGUUCGAGUCUCCCAUCUCGGACCA